rnacentral:misc_RNA from 1 species
UCCCCAGCACCUGAUUCUUCACUUUCAGAAAACCCAAAUGGAGAUGGAACACUGUCAAUUUCCCUUUUAAACUUGGGAGUACUAUUGUCUAUGCUGCUAGCAACUAUUGAUCCAUUGAUUCCAAUGGAAGUUCUGGCAGUAAAAUCAUUGGCCUGAGAUGAUAUCUGAAUCUCAACAUGGUUUGAAACAGGAGCAACUACAUUUGCCCUCCUCGUACGUGAGUUUUUAUGUGGCCUCUGACCAACCCACUGAGCCAUGGAAGAUGAGCCUGCAGACAUUUGACGCUUAUGAUUAUUUACCAAACCGGGCACUGCAACUUUAUUUGAACUUGUAGGCUGUUCCGCACCUUGAAGAGAUGUUGAAGAGGAAUGAACUUUGAGUGAUGAGUCUAACACCAUGGUACGUGGUCCCCUAGAAACCUUUGCUUUUAUCAUUGUAUUAGGACCGCUUGCUAAAUUAUCUUCAUGAAUAUUUGGCUUAUUGCUUCCUUUUGUCACAACUUUCUGCUCUAAAAGGGCCAAACGAUCUCUUGAAAGAGUUCCAGUAUCCAUUUCAUUCCUGAUUACUGUACUGGUGUCUGAACCACUAGGCUCUAAAGUAGUAUCCAACUUGUUGAUUCCACCAACACCCGGUGAAGAUUUUGAUCUGAAACUCUGAGCAUCACAAGAUCGCAACUUAGAGUCCGCACUAAUCUUUGGAUGCAUAGAUCGUUUUAGAUCUCGGUCACCAUUUAUAACUCUACUACCUACCAAUCCAACAGAACGCUUCUUUUUAUUUUUUGUAUCCCAUCCUUCACCUCCAGCAGGUAAUCUUUGGAUCUUUUCUUCAAACUUAACAGUAACCCCACUGGCAUCCUGGAGCAUAUCUCCACCCUUUUCCAUGAU